rnacentral:pre_miRNA from 1 species
AGCAUUCUGGAUCCGUAGAAAGAUUUCGUCAGACACCAACCCAUUAGGGCUGAUCAGACUUCCAAGAUAAGUGAAGUU